CUUGGUUAUUCUCAGUCUUGAUUUUCAUAACAUCAGUUCAUCAAUUUAUUCCAAAAGCUUGCUAGGGUCUUGUCUUUGGGUGCAUUUGAUGUGACUUCUGCUUUGCUCUUGCUUGAAUCUCUUCUGUUUUUUCCCUCUGCCCUCUUAGGACCUGCCUCCUCCAGUGCUCCUGGAACUGCUCCAACUGUGCCUGGGACUUCAGCACUGAGUGUUGCUGUCUUAGGGGGUUCCACUGCCACCAUGGCUGGAGUGGCCACCACGUCCCCUGGGCUCACAUCCUCGCCAGUUAAGGCACUCUUCUCGGCAUUACAGUAAAAGGUCUGAAACCCCAGAAGGACUCUGUCUCAGACUGGGCCAUUGUGUUGAUCACUCUCACUUUGGUGGCAGCAAUUGUCAACCUAAUGUAUGGUAUCAAGAAGAGGAACGCUGAGUGCCUGGGUUGCCAAGAGGAAGCAGCAGUUCACAGGAAGAGCUGGACUGAGCAGCAGGUUCUCGGGCCCCUUGAUUGACCCGUCAUACCCUUCCCUCAUCUCACAGGCCUGCCAGUUCCGGAGGGAGUGGCUGUGGCUCCGUGUGACUGUGGCUCUCUGUGGGGUGUGACUGUGGCUCCAUGACCCCUUACAGCUGCCACCAUGAGGUGGAGGCCACCAGUCAGCACUACUCUGUCAAAUGAAAGGUGGGGCAGGGGCAGCUGAGCGCCUACCCUUUGGCCUUCCUUCUUCGUCUCCCAAAUAGUCUCAUUCCCAGACUCCCCUAUCCCAUUCACCCUAGCCGGAACCUUUUUCUGCAGGUAGAUUCCUGGGGUCACUGGCCCCCAGGUCUCUUCUACCCACAGCGUAAGGAGUCGUCCACUGUCAGUCACGAGAUUCUGCUCUCUGCUCUGCCGCCAACCAUGCAGACUGCGGGAAGGUGCCCAGCUUCUCCAAGGACAGUUUUCUCAUCGGUGGAAGGAAGGACCAGGGCUAAGUGGCCUGCAGGCACCUUCCAGCCCUCAAGGAGCCC
rnacentral:lncRNA from 1 species